rnacentral:rRNA from 1 species
ACGAACGCUGGCGGCACGCUUAACACAUGCAAGUCGAACGAGAGAAGAGAAGCUUGCUUUUCUGAUCUAGUGGCGGACGGGUGAGUAACACGUGAGCAAUCUGCCUUUCAGAGGGGGAUACCGAUUGGAAACGAUCGUUAAUACCGCAUAACAUAAUUGAACCGCAUGAUUUGAUUAUCAAAGAUUUAUCGCUGAAAGAUGAGCUCGCGUCUGAUUAGCUAGUUGGUAAGGUAACGGCUUACCAAGGCGACGAUCAGUAGCCGGACUGAGAGGUUGAUCGGCCACAUUGGGACUGAGACACGGCCCAGACUCCUACGGGAGGCAGCAGUGGGGAAUAUUGCACAAUGGAGGAAACUCUGAUGCAGCGAUGCCGCGUGAGGGAAGAAGGUUUUAGGAUUGUAAACCUCUGUCUUCAGGGACGAAAAAUGACGGUACCUGAGGAGGAAGCUCCGGCUAACUACGUGCCAGCAGCCGCGGUAAUACGUAGGGAGCGAGCGUUGUCCGGAAUUACUGGGUGUAAAGGGAGCGUAGGCGGGAUCGCAAGUCAGAUGUGAAAACUAUGGGCUUAACCCAUAAACUGCAUUUGAAACUGUGGUUCUUGAGUGAAGUAGAGGUAAGCGGAAUUCCUAGUGUAGCGGUGAAAUGCGUAGAUAUUAGGAGGAACAUCAGUGGCGAAGGCGGCUUACUGGGCUUUAACUGACGCUGAGGCUCGAAAGCGUGGGGAGCAAACAGGAUUAGAUACCCUGGUAGUCCACGCCGUAAACGAUGAUUACUAGGUGUGGGGGGACUGACCCCUUCCGUGCCGCAGCAAACGCAAUAAGUAAUCCACCUGGGGAGUACGACCGCAAGGUUGAAACUCAAAGGAAUUGACGGGGGCCCGCACAAGCAGUGGAGUAUGUGGUUUAAUUCGACGCAACGCGAAGAACCUUACCAAGUCUUGACAUCCUGCGACGGUGCUGGAAACAGUAUUUUCCUUCGGGACGCAGAGACAGGUGGUGCAUGGUUGUCGUCAGCUCGUGUCGUGAGAUGUUGGGUUAAGUCCCGCAACGAGCGCAACCCUUACUGUUAGUUGCUACGCAAGAGCACUCUAGCAGGACUGCCGUUGACAAAACGGAGGAAGGUGGGGAUGACGUCAAAUCAUCAUGCCCCUUAUGACCUGGGCCUCACACGUACUACAAUGGCUGUCAACAGAGGGAAGCAAAGCCGCGAGGUGGAGCAAACCCCUAAAAGCAGUCUUAGUUCGGAUUGUAGGCUGCAACCCGCCUACAUGAAGUCGGAAUUGCUAGUAAUCGCAGAUCAGCAUGCUGCGGUGAAUACGUUCCCGGGCCUUGUACACACCGCCCGUCACGCCAUGGGAGUCGGUAACACCCGAAGCCUGUAGUCUAACCGCAAGGAGGACGCAGUCGAAGGUGGGAUUGAUGACUGGGGUG